GAUGAACGCUGGCGGCGUGCCUAAUACAUGCAAGUCGAGCGAACAGACGAGGAGCUUGCUCCUCUGACGUUAGCGGCGGACGGGUGAGUAACACGUGGAUAACCUACCUAUAAGACUGGGAUAACUUCGGGAAACCGGAGCUAAUACCGGAUAAUAUAUUGAACCGCAUGGUUCAAUAGUGAAAGACGGUUUUGCUGUCACUUAUAGAUGGAUCCGCGCCGCAUUAGCUAGUUGGUAAGGUAACGGCUUACCAAGGAAACGAUGCGUAGCCGACCUGAUAGCGUGUUCGGCCUCACUGGAACUGGGCCACGGUCCAGACUCCUACGGGAGGCACCAGUAGGGAAUCUUCCGCAAUGGGCGAAAGCCUGACGGAGCAACGCCGCGUGAGUGAUGAAGGUCUUCGGGUCGUAAAACUCUGUUAUUAGGGAAGAACAAAUGUGUAAGUAACUAUGCACGUCUUGACGGUACCUAAUCAGAAAGCCACGGCUAACUACGUG
rnacentral:rRNA from 1 species